GCCCGGGUAGAGGACUUAGCCAGGCUGCUCUCCACCAGCUCAUCAUCGAACUUCUUCCUCUUGAUGAACCUGCAGGGAGUGGAACCCAGUGAGGACAAAGAACAGUUAUGUUCUGCCCCUAAGGCUGAGAUGACGGUCCCAAAGCCACCGGUUCCAAACCACAGGGCUAGGAGGAGGGGUCCCAAAGGCUCAUCCAAGGAUUCUGACCAGGGAAGCUCAGAGGCUGAGAAAAGAUUCUGAAAAGGAGAAAUGACACUUAGAGGCUGAGAAUUUCAACUGGCCAGCUUCACCUCUGAAGACUGGAUCAGGUCCCCCAGGGUUCCACAUACCAGGGAAGAAAUAGAAGACAGAGUGCUAUAUCCUACCAAUAUGAUCCUGAUAGCCAAUAACCUUUUAAGGGCCACUGACAUCUUUGAGAAUAUGUUCAAAGCUAUGGAUUCCAGAAAACUGCACAGCCACAAUUUUAGACGGCUCACAGAUGUUCCUGAAUCUAUUCAUAGUCCCGACAUUAAGAAUAUUGACUAUAGACUGGCAAGAAAUAAAAGAUUUUUGGCUCAUU